rnacentral:rRNA from 1 species
UACGUAGGGGGCAAGCGUUAUCCGGAUUUACUGGGUGUAAAGGGAGCGUAGACGGCGUGCCAAGUCUGAUGUGAAAGGCCGGGGCUCAACCCCGGGACUGCAUUGGAAACUGGCAUGCUGGAGUGCCGGAGGGGCAAGCGGAAUUCCUAGUGUAGCGGUGAAAUGCGUAGAUAUUAGGAGGAACACCGGUGGCGAAGGCGGCUUGCUGGACGGUAACUGACGUUGAGGCUCGAAAGCGUGGGGAGCAAACAGG